rnacentral:misc_RNA from 1 species
GAUGAAGAACGCAGCGAAAUGCGAUACGUAGUGCGAAUUGCAGAAUUUAGUGAAUCAUCGAAUCUUUGAACGCACAUUGCGCCCGCCGGCAAUCCGGCGGGCACGCCCGUCCGAGCGUCGCUUACACCACACUCGGGGGCCCGCCCGGCGGGCCCUCGGCAUUGGGCACCCGCGGUCGCACGGCCGCGGGCCCCGAAACACAGCGGCGGCAGCGCCCGUAGCGUCCCCUGCGUAGUAGCCAAACCUCGCACCGGGACCCCGCGCGCGGCCCGCCCUGCGGCCCCUGCGCCGCAGAAACCACCCACAAGGUUGACCUCGGAUCGGGCGGGGCUACCCGCUGAACUUAAGCAUAUCAAUAAGCGGAGGA